rnacentral:lncRNA from 10 species
GCCAUCCCCAAGCGCCUGUGCCUCGUGUGCGGGGACAUUGCCUCUGGCUACCACUACGGCGUGGCCUCCUGCGAGGCUUGCAAGGCCUUCUUCAAGAGGACUAUCCAAGGGAACAUUGAGUACAGCUGCCCGGCCACCAACGAGUGCGAGAUCACCAAACGGAGGCGCAAGUCCUGCCAGGCCUGCCGCUUCAUGAAAUGCCUCAAAGUGGGGAUGCUGAAGGAAGAGCUGUGCUGUCUAAUAUGGCAACCACCAGCCACACGUGGCUCCCGAGUGCUGGUCCAAACAGAGGUGUGCUGAGUGUACAACACAUGCCUGCUUUAGAGGACUUAAUAGGACCAUAAAAGGCAGUGUAAAGUCUGGUGGUGAUCCUUUUAAAAAUGUGAUUGCAUGCAGAAAGGCUAAUCUUCUGGACAUGUUAAAUAAAACAUAUUGUGAAAUUA